rnacentral:pre_miRNA from 1 species
AAUAAACGAAUUUCUGCGUUUUUUUAGAAUUUUUGACUCUUCGUCUUAUUUGAAAAAAAUUAUGAUUAAAAUUUUUAUUGUUACUACGUGAUAAAACAUAAAUAGUAUUUUAUGUAUGACUAAUUUUUUUAAAUUUUUUAAUAAAAUUUUUAAAUAAGAUGAAUGGUCAAACGCUCAACUAAAAACCCAG